ACGGAGGGUGCAAGCGUUGUCCGGAAUCAUUGGGUGUAAAGGGUGCGUAGGCGGGCGUCUAAGUCUGGGGUGAAAUCUUGCCGCUUAACGGUAAAAUGGCCUUGGAUACUGGGCGUCUUGAGUGUAGAAGAGGUAAGUGGAAUUCGUAGUGUAGCGGUGAAAUGCAUAGAUAUUACGAAGAACAUCAGUGGCGAAGGCGGCUUACUGGUCUACAACUGACGCUGAGGCACGAAAGCGUGGGGAGCGAACAGG
rnacentral:rRNA from 1 species